GGGCCGGGGCGUUGGCUUCUUGCGGGAGGCGCUCAAGCCCUCGGUGGCGUCGUCCGCUGCUCUUGAUGAGCGUAAUAAUCGCCAGGUUCACAGAACACUUCUUCGUGAAUUCCAUCAGCGCGUCCUCCUGUGAGCGGCUGGGGAGGUGUCCCGGGGUCCCAGUCCCACUCCUCUUCCAGACCGAGCUCUCCGCGCCUUCACUUUGUGUCUUUGCUGCCUGGAGUGUUCGGUUAAGUACCUGUUAAGUUGAAUUGAACCUAACCUGUGCUAAGUUGAAUUGUGUAGCCCAGACAAAAAGUUCUUAAUCCAUUCCUGUGGGUGUAAAUAAGAUGUUUUAAAGAUGGCAUUUUUAGGUAAGGCGUCCCAAUUGGAUCGGGUUGGGGUUUAACCCAGAUCACAGGAGUCCUUUGUAUAUAAAACUGAGAGAGAGAAGCCGCGGGGAGCAGCCAGAAGCUCGGAGUCAGCAGGACCCGGAAGGAAGAUGCCGCCACGUGCAUUGUCAUGGGAUGGAGAAGCCAGAGCAAGGAUCCCCGGCGCCACCCCAGAGCGCCACAGUCCUGGGGAGGACACAUCGCCUUGCUGACGCCUCAGCCCUGGACUUCUCCCAGCCUUGGAACCUGGCUGGAAAGUGAAGACACCCUCCAUGCAUUUCCUGUCUGUCCAUGAAGCCAAAGCACAUGUACUGUCUUCUGCUCACCGGGGCUGGCCGGUUCUGGCCGGAAACUCCCUUGG